rnacentral:rRNA from 1 species
CCUGGCUCAGAACGAACGCUGGCGGCAGGCCUAACACAUGCAAGUCGAGCGAGAUCUUCGGAUCUAGCGGCGGACGGGUGAGUAACGCGUGGGAACGUACCCUUUUCUACGGAAUAGCCUCGGGAAACUGGGAGUAAUACCGUAUACGCCCCUUGGGGGAAAGAUUUAUCGGAGAAGGAUCGGCCCGCGUUGGAUUAGGUAGUUGGUGGGGUAAUGGCCUACCAAGCCGACGAUCCAUAGCUGGUUUGAGAGGAUGAUCAGCCACACUGGGACUGAGACACGGCCCAGACUCCUACGGGAGGCAGCAGAAGAGAAUCUUAGACAAUGGGGGCAACCCUGAUCUAGCCAUGCCUUUAGAGUGAUGAAGGCCUUAGGGUUGUAAAGCUCUUUCAGCUGGGAAGAUAAUGAC